rnacentral:rRNA from 1 species
AGGAUGAACGCUGGCGGCGUGCUUAACACAUGCAAGUCGAACGAUGAAGCAGAGCUUGCUCUGUGGAUUAGUGGCGAACGGGUGAGUAACACGUGAGUAACCUGCCCUUGACUCUGGAAUAAGCGUUGGAAACGGCGUCUAAUACCGGAUACGAGCUUCCGCCGCAUGGUGAGGAGCUUGGAAAGAAUUUCGG